CCUACGGGGGCAGCAGUGGGGAAUAUUGGACAAUGGGCGAAAGCCUGAUCCAGCCAUGCCGCGUGUGUGAAGAAGGCCUUCGGGUUGUAAAGCACUUUCAGUGGGGAAGAAAGCCUUGGGGCUAAUACCCUCGAGGAAGGACAUCACCCACAGAAGAAGCACCGGCUAACUCCGUGCCAGCAGCCGCGGUAAUACGGAGGGUGCGGGCGUUAAUCGGAAUUACUGGGCGUAAAGCGCGCGUAGGCGGUCUGAUAAGCCGGUUGUGAAAGCCCCGGGCUCAACCUGGGAACGGCAUCCGGAACUGUCAGGCUAGAGUGCAGGAGAGGAAGGUAGAAUUCCCGGUGUAGCGGUGAAAUGCGUAGAGAUCGGGAGGAAUACCAGUGGCGAAGGCGGCCUUCUGGACUGACACUGACGCUGAGGUGCGAAAGCGUGGGUAGCAAACAGGAUUAGAUACCCGGGUAGUC
rnacentral:rRNA from 1 species